rnacentral:lncRNA from 1 species
UUCUAUUCAUUUCUGAGUAGUUUUUUAUAUAGUUUUUUUCUUUUUCUGCUAUAUUUAUUUUUUCUUUUUAUUUCUGUGUUGUAAUAAGUCAUUAAAAAUAAGCAUAUACGCUCCUUUUUUACUAUAGUUAAUCACAACUAUUUUUUGCUUCUAUUCAUUUCUGAGUAGUUUUUUAUAUAGUUUUUUUCUUUUUCUGCUAUAUUUAUUUUUUCUUUUUAUUACUGUGUUGUAAUAAGUCAUUAAAAAUAAGCAUAUAUGCUCCUUUUUUACUAUAGUUAAUCACAACUAUUUUUUGCUUCUAUUCAUUUCUGAGUAGUUUUUUAUAUAGUUUUUUCUUUUCUGCUAUAUUAUUUUUUCUGAGUUAUAAUAAGUCAUUACAAAUAAAAAAGAGACGCAAUGCUCGUUAAUCUGCUUCAACCCUUUCGGGAUAGUGUCAACUGCACUGCACAUAGCUCUGUGCAGUCUACCGUAUCCCGCAAGGGUUGAAGCCAACCAACGUGCAGGAGCAUUGAGCCUCUUCGUCAUUGUAUCUGCACUCAGGGCUUAUAAACAGCUGCGAGUGCCUCUCGCUUGGCGAGGUGGGACUAAAACGAAAGCUGCUGGAAGAAUCAACAAAAAAACAGCUGCAGAGACAAAAAGUGGUUAGACGGGUCCAUUGGUCCCGGUUGGUGGCUCCAACCGGGACCAAUGCC